AGUGAACGCUGGCGGUAGGUCUAACACAUGCAAGUCGAACGGCAGCACAGUAAGAGCUUGCUCUUACGGGUGGCGAGUGGCGGACGGGUGAGGAAUACAUCGGAAUCUACUUUUUCGUGGGGGAUAACGUAGGGAAACUUACGCUAAUACCGCAUACGACCUACGGGUGAAAGCAGGGGAUCUUCGGACCUUGCGCGAUUGAAUGAGCCGAUGUCGGAUUAGCUAGUUGGCGGGGUAAAGGCCCACCAAGGCGACGAUCCGUAGCUGGUCUGAGAGGAUGAUCAGCCACACUGGAACUGAGACACGGUCCAGACUCCUACGGGAGGCAGCAGUGGGGAAUAUUGGACAAUGGGCGCAAGCCUGAUCCAGCCAUACCGCGUGAGUGAAGAAGGCCUUCGGGUUGUAAAGCCCUUUUGUUGGGAAAGAAAAGCAGCAGGUUAAUACCCCGCUGUUCUGACGGUACCCAAAGAAUAAGCACCGGCUAACUUCGUG
rnacentral:rRNA from 1 species